GACGAACGCUGGCGGCGUGCCUAAUACAUGCAAGUCGAGCGCAGGAAACUGACGGAACUCUUCGGAGGGAAGGCAGCGGAAUGAGCGGCGGACGGGUGAGUAACACGUAAGGAACCUGCCUCAAGGAUUGGGAUAACUCCGAGAAAUCGGAGCUAAUACCGGAUCGUUCAUCGGACCGCAUGGCCCGUUGAUGAACGGCGCUCCGGCGUCACCUUCAGCUGGCCUUGCGGGGCAUUAGCUAGUUGGUGGGGUAACGGCCCACCAAGGCGACGAUGCAUAGCCGACCGGAGAGGGUGAUCGGCCACACUGGGACUGAGACACGGCCCAGACUCCUACGGGAGGCAGCAGUAGGGAAUCUUCCACAAUGGACGAAAGUCUGAUGGAGCAACGCCGCGUGAGUGAUGAAGGUUUUCGGAUCGUAAAACUCUGUUGUAAGGGAAGAACACGUACGAGAGGAAAUGCUCGUACCUUGACGGUACCUUACGAGAAAGCCACGGCUAACUACGUGCCAGCAGCCGCCGUAAAAC
rnacentral:rRNA from 1 species